rnacentral:rRNA from 1 species
GAUGAACGCUGACAGAAUGCUUAACACAUGCAAGUCAUUGGCGAAGCUGCGCUUGCGCAGUCUAGCCAAGGCGGACGGGUGAGUAACGCGUAAGGAACUUGCCCUGCAGACAGGGAUAACAGACGGAAACGACUGAUAACACCUGGUAUUGUCAAGCUGGCGCAUGCCGGCCUGAUGAAAGGAGACGCUGCAGGAGAGCCUUGCGUCCUAUUAGCUAGUUGGUGGGGUAACGGCCCACCAAGGCGAUGAUAGGUAGCCGGCCUGAGAGGGUGAACGGCCACAAGGGGACUGAGAUACGGCCCUUACUCCUACGGGAGGCAGCAGUGGGGAAUAUUGGACAAUGGGGGCAACCCUGAUCCAGCAAUUCUGUGUGCACGAAGAAGGUUUUCGGAUUGUAAAGGGCUUUCAGCAGGGAAGAAGAAAGUGACGGUACCUGCAGAAGAAGCGACGGCUAAAUACGUG